GCGAAAGUGGCGGAAUUGGUAGACGCGCUAGAUUUAGGUUCUAGUGUCUUGCGGCGUGAGAGUUCGAGUCUCUCCUUUCGCACCA
rnacentral:tRNA from 13 species